ensembl:lncRNA
GGGACACCUAAAGCAAUACGAAACAGUGGAGUGCUGGGAAGGUCAGCUCUCUACCUCCGGCCAAGUCAGCCUUUAAACAACAAUGAGGGUAACACCGUUUCAGUGGAAUCCAUUGACUCAGCAACAACAGACGACGAAUUGGUCAUCAAUGAAAGUGAUGAUUCCCCACUAGGUCAAAAUCAUAAUGAUGAUGAUGUUUUUGUUGAUGGUGAUGAGGAAGUGGUAAGAACAUAUAUUACAUAAUUAUUGAUGUAAUAUUUAAUUGUUUUGAGGAAAAUGCAUAUGAAGUGAAAUACCAUAUAAAGUGCUUGCUACUGACCGGUUUAUAAUGUAGCCAUUAUAAUUUAUACAAUUCUGUCCAUAAAAAGGUCAUCAUUAACAGUGAUAAUUCUUCAGAAAGCCAUCAUGCCAGUGAUGAUGAUAGCACUACUGAAAUGGUAAGACCAUGAAUUGCGUUCUUUGCUUUUAUCUUUCCAUUCUUCUAUGUGUGUGUGCAUAUAUAUAGGCCAAGAUAAAAAUCUGUACUUCAUUUUAUCUUCGUUUUAAGAAAAU